rnacentral:rRNA from 1 species
UACGUAGGGUGCAAGCGUUGUCCGGAAUUAUUGGGCGUAAAGAGCUCGUAGGCGGUUUGUCGCGUCUGCUGUGAAAACUCAGGGCUUAACCCUGAGCCUGCAGUGGGUACGGGCAGACUAGAGUGUGGUAGGGGAGAUCGGAAUUCCUGGUGUAGCGGUGGAAUGCGCAGAUAUCAGGAGGAACACCGGUGGCGAAGGCGGAUCUCUGGGCCAUAACUGACGCUGAGGAGCGAAAGCAUGGGGAGCGAACAGGA